rnacentral:rRNA from 1 species
GGAUAACAGUUGGAAACGACUGCUAAUACUGGAUGUCGUCGUACCCUCGCAUGGGGGGAUGACGAAAGGGUUACCGGAUCGGGACGGUCUCGCGGCCUAUCAGCUUGUUGGGGAGGUAACGGCUCACCAAGGCUUCGACGGGUAGCUGGUCUGAGAGGAUGAUCAGCCACACUGGGACUGAGACACGGCCCAGACUCCUACGGGAGGCAGCAGUGGGGAAUCUUGCGCAAUGGGCGAAAGCCUGACGCAGCAACGCCGCGUGCGGGAUGAAGGCCUUCGGGUUGUAAACCGCUUUUAACAGGAACGAAAAUGACGGUACCUGUAGAAUAAGGUGCGGCCAACUACGUGCCAGCAGCCGCGGUGACACGUAGGCACCAAGCGUUGUCCGGAUUUAUUGGGCGUAAAGAGCUCGUAGGCGGUUCAGUAAGUCGGGUGUGAAAACUCUGGGCUUAACCCAGAGACGCCACUCGAUACUACUGUGACUAGAGUUCGGUAGGGGAGCGGGGAAUUCCUAGUGUAGCGGUGAAAUGCGCAGAUAUUAGGAGGAACACCGGUGGCGAAGGCGCCGCUCUGGGCCGAUACUGACGCUGAGGAGCGAAAGCGUGGGUAGCAAACAGGAUUAGAUACCCUGGUAGUCCACGCCGUAAAACGGUUGGGCACUAGGUGUGGGCCUCCAACCAACGGGAGUCCGCGCCGUCGCUAACGCAUUAAGUGCCCCGCCUGGGG